UUGACUUCGGGAUAACUCCGGGAAACCGGGGCUAAUACCGGAUAUGAGCUACCUUCGCAUGGGGGUGGUUGGAAAGUUUUUCGGUCAGGGAUGGGCUCGCGGCCUAUCAGCUUGUUGGUGGGGUGAUGGCCUACCAAGGCGACGACGGGUAGCCGGCCUGAGAGGGCGACCGGCCACACUGGGACUGAGACACGGCCCAGACUCCUACGGGAGGCAGCAGUGGGGAAUAUUGCACAAUGGGCGCAAGCCUGAUGCAGCGACGCCGCGUGAGGGAUGAAGGCCUUCGGGUUGUAAACCUCUUUCAGCAGGGAAGAAGCGCANGUGACGGUACCUGCAGAAGAAGCGCCGGCUAACUACGUGCCAGCAGCCGCGGUAAUACGUAGGGCGCAAGCGUUGUCCGGAAUUAUUGGGCGUAAAGAGCUCGUAGGCGGUCUGUCGCGUCUGGUGUGAAAACUCGAGGCUCAACCUCGAGCUUGCAU
rnacentral:rRNA from 1 species